rnacentral:misc_RNA from 1 species
AAAGUCGUAACAAGGUUUCCGUAGGUGAACCUGCGGAAGGAUCAUUACAAAUCCACAAGUCUCACCCUAACCCGGUCGAUGACAACGUUGAACCCCCCGGCGCUCGCGCCACUUAUUUGACCCCACGGCUGACACAAAAUACCACGAAUGUACCAACAAUCACACAACCUAGAAACAACUUAUAACAAUGGAUCUCUAGGCUCUU